AACGAACGUUAGCGGCGCGCCUAACACAUGCAAGUCGUGCGAGAAAGGGCUUCGGCCCCAGUAAAGCGGCGCACGGGUGAGUAACACGUAGGUAACGUACCCUCGAGCGGUGGAUAACCCUCCGAAAGGAGGGCUAAUACAGCAUAAGACCACGAUUCCCUCGGGAGUCGCGGCCAAAGUGGGCCUCUUCAUGAAAGCUCACACUUGAGGAUCGGCCUGCGGCCCAUCAGCUAGUUGGCGGUGUAAAAGACCACCAAGGCGAAGACGGGUAGCUGGUCUGAGAGGAUGAACAGCCACACUGGAACUGAGACACGGUCCAGACUCCUACGGGAGGCAGCAGUGGGGAAUCUUGCGCAAUGGGCGAAAGCCUGACGCAGCGACGCCGCGUGAGUGAUGAAGGCCUUCGGGUUGUAAAGCUCUGUGGGGAGGAAAGAAUAAGGUCCGGCUAAUACCCGGACCGAUGACGUACCUCCUUAGCAAGCACCGGCUAACUCUGUG
rnacentral:rRNA from 1 species